rnacentral:lncRNA from 1 species
AUUGGCUUACUCACACGUCUCUCAUACAAAACUGGAGGGCAGAAAAUGUGUGUCUUUUCUAAGAUUAUGCUUCAUAUAGAAAGUAUUCAAUAAAUAUAACUAUAAAUAAGCAUAUAAUAUUUUGUAAAUACAAACUAUGAUUUAUAAUCAUCUUUCACUCAAUAAAUAAUACAUUCAAGACAGCAUGCAGGCAAUAAAAGUGUUUGGGUCUACUUUAGAACAUCCCUCAAAAAGGUAACUCAGCUGGUCUUGGUCACUUAUAAUCCUAGCACUUUGAGAGCCUGAGGUGGGAGAAUUGCUUGAGGGCAGGAGUUCAAUACCAGCCUGGGCAACAUAAUGAGACCUCCAUAUCUACAAAACAUAAAAGGUUAGCCAGGCAUGAUUGUGAGCAACUGUGACCCCGGCUACUAAAGAGGCUG